UCCAGGGGAUCUUCUCGACCCAGGGAUUGGACCGCAGUCUCCUGCUUUGGCAGGGGGCUUCUUUACCAUCUGAGCCACCAGGGAAGCCUGUUGGGUUGAGAUGCUGCCUUGGUCUUUUCCAUCCCUCUCUACCCCACUCCCCCGUCUGUAACUCUGGUUUGUUCAUGCACAGGACAGAGAACUCUGACCACCCGCUCCCAUAUUGCACUCUGAGAAAGCUGAGGCCCGCACGGGCCCAAGGAGAGGACUCACUUUUCCUCAUGCCCUGGCACAUGAGGACCCAGAAGCCACAGGAAAGGUGCCUGAGGAAGUGGCAGGCUGGGCGGGGGCCCCCAUGGAACUGGAUCGAAGGCUGGAGGCUGCGUGACCAGAACCUACUCAAGGGAGCAUCUCUGAGUUAGCCUCCGGGUAUGCCAGGGAGAGGCUAAUCCCCAGCCCUCCUGGCUUAACUUCAGCCCAAGUGAGAAGGACGUAGAUUCUUUACCAUCAAGCCACGUGGGAAGCUCCCGCUUGCUCCACUACCAUCUAAUUGGAAUGACUCUCUGCCCUGUAGCCCAGAAAAUAAGCCUUCCUCCUCUCAUUCUGUGGUCGAGAUUGGGCUAAAAGGUCCCUGGAAAUGAGAUUCAGGGCCAUACAGGGAAGCCCCAUGGUCAGCCAGGAGACUGAGGGAAUGGGGGAAAUUCAGCCAAGAGCCUUUAUGAUGGUUUCCACAAGAAAGGUGGAUUUUUUACCACUGUGCACCUGGGAAGCCCAGCCUGACUCUAACUGUUUACCGUCUCUGGUCCCAGGAGGGAAGUGGUCUUCACAAGGUCUUCAAGGCCCCAAGACAUCAAAGCACCAGAAUAAAAAGACAUGAUUAAUACAUAUAUAUACUGACUCAUCCUUCUCUUUGUGUAAAAUGUUA